GACGAACGCUGGCGGCGUGCCUAACACAUGCAAGUCGAACGGAGUGUUUAUUUAUAAACACUUAGUGGCGAACGGGUGAGUAACGCGUAGACAACCUACCCUCUAGAUGGGGACAACACCGCGAAAGUGGUGCUAAUACCGAAUGUUGUAAUGUUGUUGCAUAAUGAUAUUACUAAAGGUGGCCUCUAUAUAAAAGCUACCGCUAGAAGAUGGGUCUGCGUCUGAUUAGCUAGUUGGUGAGAUAACAGCUCACCAAGGCAAUGAUCAGUAGCCGGUGUGAGAGGAUGAACGGCCACACUGGGACUGAGACACGGCCCAGACUCCUACGGGAGGCAGCAGUGGGGAAUCUUCCGCAAUGGACGAAAGUCUGACGGAGCAACGCCGCGUGAGUGAAGAAGGUUUUCGGAUCGUAAAGCUCUGUCUUCAAGGACGAAUGUAGAUAUUGUGAAUAAUGAUAUUUAAUGACGGUACUUGAGGAGGAAGCCACGGCUAACUACGUGCCAGCAGCCGCAGUAA
rnacentral:rRNA from 1 species